AGCUGUUAGACAUCGGCGUAAAGGGUGGUUAAGAUAAUCCAUAUACUAAAGCCGAACGCCUUCUAUACUGUUAUACGUUUCCUGAAGGUAAGAAGCCCAGUCACGAAAGUAGCUUUAACUAUAUUUGAAUCCACGAAAGCUAGGACACAAACUGGGAUUAGAUACCCCACUAUGCCUAGCCGUAAACAUAGACAGUUCACAUACCCCACUGUUCGCCCGGGAACUACGAGCAUCAGCUUAAAACCCAAAGGACUUGGCGGUGCUUUACAUCCAUCUAGAGGAGCCUGUUCUAGAACCGAUAAUCCCCGUUCAACCUCACCCUUCCUUGUUCUUUCAGCCUAUAUACCGCCGUCGUCAGUUUACCCCGCUAAGGGCCCAGUAGUAAGCAAAAUCGGCACUAGCCCAAAACGUCAGGUCGAGGUGUAGCCUAUGGAAGGGGAAGAAAUGGGCUACAUUCCCUACUACAGGGCAUACGAAUGAUUUCGCUGAAAUGCAUUUCUGAAGGAGGAUUUAGUAGUAAGCAGGAAGUAGAGUGUCUUGCUGAAACCGGCCCUAAAGCGCGUACACACCGCCCGUCACUCUCCCCAAGCUAACACACUUAAAUAAUUAAAACACCAUAACUGCAAAGG
rnacentral:rRNA from 1 species